CUCCUUUCCCCCAAUAUGGCAGCGGCCGGCGGCGGCGGCGGCGGCGGCGGCGGCGGCGGCGGCGGGCCCUCCGCGGGGACUGGCGAGGACGGCGGAGGCGACGGCUGCAGGACGGUGUACUUGUUUGACCGGCGCGAGAAGGAGUCCGAGCUCGGGGACCGGGUGCUGCAGGUCGAGGAGCGCUCGGACUACACAAGGUUCCGCGCCUCUGUGUGUCAGACACUUGGCAUUUCACCUGAAGAGAAAUUUGUUAUUACAACAACAAGUAGGAAAGAAAUUACCUGUGAUAAUUUUGAUGACACUGUUAAAGAUGGAGUCACUCUAUACCUGCUACAGUCAGUCAAUCAGCUACUACUAACAGCUACAAAAGAACGAAUUGACUUCCUACCUCACUAUGAUACACUGGUUAAAAGUGGCAUGUAUGAAUAUUAUGCAAGUGAAGGACAAAAUCCUUUGCCAUUUGCUCUUGCAGAAUUAAUUGACAAUUCAUUGUCUGCUACUUCUAGAAACACUGGUAUUAGAAGAAUACAGAUCAAAUUGCUUUUUGAUGAAACACAAGGAAAACCCGCUGUUGCAGUGAUAGAUAAUGGAAGAGGAAUGACCUCUAAACAGCUUAACAACUGGGCCGUGUAUAGGUUGUCAAAAUUCACAAGGCAAGGUGACUUUGAAAGUGAUCAUUCAGGAUAUGUUCGUCCAGUACCGGUGCCACGCAGUUUAAAUAGUGAUAUUUCCUAUUUUGGUGUUGGGGGCAAACAAGCUGUUUUCUUUGUUGGACAAUCAGCCAGAAUGAUAAGCAAACCUGCAGAUUCCCAAGAUGUUCAUGAACUUGUACUUUCUAAAGAAGAUUUUGAGAAGAAGGAGAAAAAUAAAGAGGCAAUAUAUAGUGGCUAUAUCAGAAACAGAAAGGCAUCUGAUUCUGUUCACAUUACAAAUGAUGAUGAAAGAUUUCUACAUCAUCUUAUCGUAGAGGAGAAGGAAAAAGAUAGCUUUACUGCUGUGGUUAUCACAGGAGUACAACCAGAACACAUACAGUAUUUGAAAAAUUAUUUCCUUCUUUGGACAAGACAGUUAGCGCAUAUUUAUCAUUACUAUAUUCAUGGCCCAAAAGGAAAUGAAAAACAUACAUCAAAAGAAGUUGGACCUUUCAACAACAUUGAUAUUGAAAUUUCUAUGUUUGAAAAGGGGAAGGCACCUAAGAUUGUCAACCUAAGGGAAAUAGAAGAUGACAUGCAGACGUUGUAUAUAAACACAGCAGCUGAUAGUUUUGAGUUCAAGGCUCAUGUUGAAGGAGAUGGUGUAGUAGAAGGGAUUAUUCGAUAUCACCCUUUCUUAUAUGAUAGAGAAACUUACCCUGAUGAUCCAUGCUUUCCAUCAAAAUUAAAAGAUGAAGAUGAUGAUGAUGAUUGUUUCAUACUUGAGAAAGCUGCAAGAGGGAAAAGGCCUAUUUUUGAAUGUUUUUGGAAUGGACGGCUAAUACCAUAUACAUCUGUUGAGGACUUUGACUGGUGUACUCCUCCAAAGAAGAGAGGGCUUGCACCAAUUGAAUGUUACAAUAGAAUAUCUGGUGCAUUAUUCACCAAUGACAAAUUCCAGGUCAGCACAAAUAAACUGACUUUUAUGGAUCUUGAGCUAAAGUUGAAAGAUAAGAACACCCUUUUUACAAGGAUUUUAAAUGGACAGGAGCAGCGAAUGAAAAUUGACAGAGAAUUUGCUUUAUGGUUAAAGGACUGUCAUGAAAAAUAUGACAAACAAAUAAAAUUUACAUCUUUUAAAGGAGUAAUUACACGUCCUGAUCUUCCUUCUAAAAAGCAGGGCCCCUGGGCAACAUACUCAGCAAUAGAAUGGGAUGGAAAAAUAUACAAAGCAGGACAGUUGGUCAAGACAAUCAAGACACUUCCUCUCUUUUAUGGAAGCAUAGUAAAAUUUUUUCUUUAUGGUGAUCAUGAUGGAGAAGUAUAUGCCACAGGAGGAGAGGUUCAGAUUGCAAUGGAACCUCAGGCGCUAUAUGAUGAAGUAAAAACUGUGCCAAUUGCUAAGCUUGAUAGGACAGUUGCUGAGAAAGCUGUCAAAAAAUAUGUAGAAGAUGAAAUGGCAAGACUCCCUGAUAGAUUGUCAGUAACUUGGCCUGAAGGAGAUGAAUUAUUGCCAAAUGAGAUUAGGCCAGCUGGAACCCCCAUUGGUGCAUUAAGAAUUGAAAUACUGAAUAAAAAGGGGGAAGCAAUGCAAAAGCUUCCAGGAACAAGUCAUGGAGGAUCAAAGAAACUCCUGGUUGAGCUCAAAGUUAUAUUACAUUCUUCCAAUGGAAAUAAAGAAAUCAUUUCACAUAUUAGUCAACAUGGAGGAAAAUGGCCUUACUGGUUUAAAAAAAUGGAAAAUAUUCAAAAGUUGGGGAAUUAUACAUUGAAAUUACAAGUUGUAUUGAAUGAAAGUAAUGCAGACACUUAUGCAGGAAGACCACUACCUUCAAAAGCAAUUAAAUUUUCUGUUAAAGAGGGUAAACCAGAAAAGUUUUCAUUUGGUCUUAUGGAUCCUCCUUUUCGUGUUGGAGUCCCAUUCAAUAUCCCUCUGGAGUUUCAGGAUGAAUUUGGUCAUACUAGUCAAUUAGGAAAUGAUAUUCAGCCAGUAUUUGAAGCAAGUGGUUUAUCUUUACAUUAUGAAGAAAUAACCAAAGGACCGAAUUGUGUGAUUCGAGGUGUUACAGCUAAGGGCCUUGUAAACUCUUGUCAAGGCAAGAAUUUUAAUUUGAAGGUUAUUCUGCCGGGUUUAAAAGAAGACACACAGAUUUUAAAAAUUAGAUUACUACCAGGUCCCCCUCAUCGAUUGAAAGUGAAACCUGAUUCUGAAAUUUUAGUUAUAGAAAAUGGAACAGCUUUCCCAUUUCAGGUAGAAGUUUUGGAUGAAUCAGACAAUGUAACAACACAACCAAAAUUGAUUGUUCAUUGUAAGUUUUUAGGUGCUCCAAACCUUCCAGUGUACGUUGUAGAUUGCAGCAGUUCUGGGACCAGUAUUUUAACAGGAUCUGCGAUUCAAGUGCAGAACAUUAAAAAAGACCAGACUCUUAAAGCAAAAAUUGAAAUACCUAGCUGUAAAGAUGUGGCGCCUGUGGAGAAGACUAUUAAGUUGCUUCCUAGUAGCCAUGUUGCAAGAUUACAGAUAUUCAGUGUAGAAGGACAAAAGGCAAUCCAGAUCAAACAUCAGGAUGAGGUUAAUUGGAUAGCAGGCGAUACUAUGCAUAAUCUUAUUUUUCAAAUGUAUGAUGAAGGAGAAAGAGAAAUUCAUAUAACAUCAACUUUAGCAGAUAAAAUUAAAGUUAAUUGGACUCCUGAGAUUAACAAAGAACACUUGCUACAAGGUCUGCUUCCUGAUGUACAAGUACCAACAUCUGUGAAAGAUAUGCGUUAUUGCCAGGUUUCAUUCCAAGAUGAUCAUGUGUCUUUGGAAAGUGCAUUUACAGUAAGACCGCUUCCUGAUGAACCUAAACAUCUAAAAUGUGAAUUAAAAGGAGGAAAAACAGUACAGAUGGGCCAAGAGCUUCAAGGAGAAAUAGUUGUAAUAGUUACAGAUCAGUAUGGAAAUCAGAUUCAAGCAUUUUCACCAAGUUCUUUAUCUGCCUUGGGAAUUGCUGGGAUUGGACUUGAUAGCUCUCAUUUGAAAACUACCUUUCAGGAAAAUACACAAAGUAUAAGUGUAAAAGGCAUCAAAUUUAUUCCAGGCCCUCCUGGAAAUAAGGAUCUUUGUUUUACUUGGCGUGAAUUUUCUGACUUUAUUCGAGUGCAGCUAAUUUCUGGACCACCAGCAAAAGUUCUCCUUAUAGACUGGCCAGAAUUAAAGGAGUCCAUUCCAGUGAUAAAUGGAAGAGAAUUACAGAAUCCUCUCAUUGUUCAGCUUUGUGAUCAGUGGGAUAAUCCAGCACCUGUAUCACAAGUUAAAAUAAGUCUCAUAAAAGCUAACAAUUUAAAGCUUACGCCUUCAAAUCAACAGCAUAAAACAGAUGAAAGGGGCAGGGCUAAUUUGGGAGUGUUCAGUGUUUAUGCCCCUAGAGGAGAACAUAUGAUGCAUGUUAGAGCCAUCUAUAACAAGAAUAUCAUAGAAGGACCUAUAAUUAAGUUAAUGAUUCUUCCAGACCCUGAAAAACCUAUUCGUCUCAAUGUUAAAUAUGACAAAGAUGCUUCCUUUCUAGCAGGGGGUAUUUUCACUGAUUUUAUGAUUACUGUUAUUUCUGAAGAUGACAGUAUCAUUAAAAAUAUUAAUCCAGCACGUAUCUCCAUGAAAAUGUGGCAGCUGUCUAACAGUGGGAACCGACCACCAGCAAAUGCAGAAACAUUUAGUUGUAAUAAAAUAAAAGAUAAUGACAAGGAAGAUGGCUGUUUCUACUUCAGGGAUAAAGCAAUUCCUAACAAAGUGGGAACAUACUGUAUCCAGUUUGGUUUUAUGAUGGAUAAAGCAAAUAUUCUUAACAGUGAACAGAUUAUAGUUGAUGUUCUCCCUAAUCAGCCUGUGAAGUUAGUGCCUAAAAUCCAACCAGCUACACCAGCUGUUUCAAAUGUUCGCUCAGUUGCCAGCAGGACCUUGGUCAGAGAUUUACAUCUUACUAUUACGGAUGACUACAACAAUCAUACCGGAAUUGAUUUGGUUGGCACUGUAGUAGCUACCAUUAAAGGAUCUAAUGAGGAAGAUACAGAUACACCACUCUUUAUCGGGAAAGUGAGAACACUUGAAUUUCCCUUUGUGAAAGGUUCAGCUGAAAUCACGAAUCUAGUGCUGGCAGAAAAUAGUCCUGGAAGGGAUAGUACUGAAUAUUUUAUUGUAUUUGAGCCUCAGCUACCAGCUCUGUCAAGAACAUUAGAAUCAUAUAUCCUACCAUUUAUGUUUUACAAUGAUGUUAAGAAGCAGCAACAAAUGGCAGCACUUACAAAAGAAAAGGACCAGUUAUCUAAGAAUAUUAUAAUGUAUAGAAGUUUAUUUGAAGCCAGCAAUCAGCUUCUUGAUGAAAUGAAGUGCCGAGUUGAAGAAGCAAAAUUAAAAGAGGCUCAGUUGCAAAAUGAACUAAAAACACAUAAUAUUGACAUCCCUACAACACAACAGAUGCCACACAUUGAAGCACUUUUGAAAAGAAAGCUAUCAGAACAGGAAGAACUGAGGAAAAAACCUAGAAGAUCGUGUACUCUUCCAAACUAUACUAAAGGCAGUGGAGAUGUUUUGGGAAAGAUUGCACACCUGGCACAAAUUGAAGAUGAUAGAGCUGCAAUGGUUAUUUCUUGGCAUCUGGCAAGUGACAUGGACUGUGUAGUCACCCUGACCACUGAUGCUGCACGUCGCAUCUAUGAUGAAACCCAAGGUCGUCAGCAGGUCUUGCCCUUGGAUUCUAUUUAUAAGAAGACUCUUCCAGAUUGGAAAAGACCUCUACCUCAUUACCGAAAUGGAAAAUUGUAUUUUAAACCCAUUGGAGAUCCAGUCUUUGCCCGAGAUUUGUUAACAUUUCCAGAUAAUGUAGAACAUUGUGAAACAGUAUUUGGUAUGCUGUUAGGAGACACCAUUAUUUUGGAUAAUUUGGAUGCUGCCAAUCAUUAUAGAAAAGAGGUUGUUAAAAUUACACACUGUCCUACACUGCUCACCAGAGAUGGAGAUCGCAUUCGAAGUAACGGAAAGUUUGGGGGUCUUCAGAAUAAAGCUCCUCCAAUGGAUAAACUUCGGGGAAUGGUAUUUGGAGCUCCAAUACCAAAACAGUGCCUGGUCUUAGGGGAACAAAUAGAUCUUCUCCAACAGUAUCGUACUGCUGUGAACAAGUCGAACAGUGUGAUCGAGGACCUUAACCGUCAGUUAGAGUACCUUCACACUCCUGAUAUGAAGAAGAAAAAACAAGAACUUGAUGAACAAGAAAAGAAUCUGAAACUGAUCGAGCAAAAACUAGGUAUGACUCCCACACGGAAGUGUAAUGACUCAUUGCGCCAUCCAGCAAAGGUUGAAAUGACAGAUUGUCCAAUUCCUCCUAAAAGAAUGAGAAGAGAAGCUUCAAGACAAAAUAGAUGGGGGCAAGUGUCUUGGAAUUGCUGCCUUUGAAUUAUGGAAGAGAGAUGAAAUGAUAAUGAGAUUAUGAGAGAAGUGUUUCCACAUGAUUAUAACCAAAUCAGAUGUGUGAACAAUUACAGAGAAGAGGAGGCCAUUGGUCUCAUGAAGAAUGCUCUGCCUUCUGCAGCUCUGUUUCAGAAGACCGAGAGGGUGACUUACCGGACUGAGUAUUUCUGGGGACAAUACGAUUAUCUGGGCAUGCGUUUCCAUGUCAAUUCAAAUGGGACUGGAAACAGCCCUUCAAUUUUAUGAAUCUCACGGGACAGUAUGGAUUUACUGGAAUUAUUCCAGUCAUCAUGCCCUUUGGUUGCAAAUGUAUCAGAGGAAAAUGUGCAAACAUUGCAGUGACUGUAAAACUGGCACAUGGCAUUUAUUAAUCCUGAAGAAAAGCAUAUGUACUAUUUUUCAGUAUGAUUAUCAUGGAUAUGCUAGAACUAUUUCUUGAAAACAAACCUUUUUAUUGCUUCUGUGUGAAUUUAUUUAACAAAACUUUUUUGUCUGUUGUGUUUAAGGAAAGUUCUAGAGGUUAAGUAUUUAAAUGUAAAUAUGUGAGGAAACUCUUAAUGAAGAAUUCAGAAUAAAAAUAGAAAAAGCACAGGUAUCUGGAAAUUCAAAUGUUGAGAUACAGGGAGGAAAAAUUGAUGAGUGAAUUUGUGACAGCAGUAGCAUUUUAAAUUUCUAAAGACUUAUUCUGUAUAUAUAUAUAUAUAUAUAUAAAAUAUGCAGCAGCAGCAAUUUUUUAAAGUAUUGUUUGACUUUAUUAAUACUAGAUGAUAUAGUCUCAGCCUUAAUUCUACAUUUUCAUUAUUUUGUAAUUUUUUAUUACUAUUUUUAAAGGGUUACAGAAGUCGUACACUCCCACAUUAAUAAUAGUCUGCUAGAAAGUUGCUGCAAAAAUGUUAAAAUUCUGUGUUAAUUCAAGCUAAUGUAUGUCAAUAUAUAUGUUUUUGUGUAAGUCCAGGACUAUUGGUUUGUGAACUUAUUUUGUAAGGAAAUGCUUUUGGUACAGUUUUGUGUCCCAGGAAAUGUGUGUGUUUUUAAUCCUUUCUGAAUAUACAGUGAGGUUAAUAAAAAGGAUUGUUUCUUCCCUAUUAAAUACAUAAGUGUUUUCCUUUUUUAACAUUGAAAGCUCUCUAAAAGUUACUUGGUAAAAACUAUUACAAUAUUGAUUUAUCUUUAUAACUGGAAGUCAUUUAACUUUUGUUGAAGAAGGAAAUAAAUUGGCAAUAAUCUAGCUAAAGGAAAGAAUAGAUUCCUUUUAAAUGACACUUUCUUACUAGUUAAAUGUUAGUGCUAAAAAAAGAGUUCCAAAAAAAAGAGUUCCAUCUUUCAAAUUGUUUAUACUUUUUACUAUAUGACUUAUUUACAAUCAUUAUGAAAUGGGUGAGAUUGUUAUAUUUUUAGUAUGUAAUUUUCUAAUUAUACUUGUUAGUAAAAUGUUUGCAUUUAUAUCCUUUUUAUACUGUCAGAAUGUCUUCAGUUCUGUCAGCUAAACAUUUUCAUGAAAUCAUCUCUUCCUCUUCAUGACUGUGUAAUUACAUUUGUGAAAUUA